rnacentral:piRNA from 1 species
UUGUAGUGAAGUCUGCCCCCUGCAAC